GAUGAACGCUGGCGGCGUGCCUAAUACAUGCAAGUCGAGCGAACAGACGAGGAGCUUGCUCCUCUGACGUUAGCGGCGGACGGGUGAGUAACACGUGGAUAACCUACCUAUAAGACUGGGAUAACUUCGGGAAACCGGAGCUAAUACCGUAUAAUAUAUUGAACCGCAUGGUUCAAUAGUGAAAGACGGUUUUGCUGUCACUUAUAGAUGGAUCCGCGCCGCAUUAGCUAGUUGGUAAGGUAACGGCUUACCAAGGCAACGAUGCGUAGCCGACCUGAGAGGCUGAUCGGCCACACUGGAACUGAGACACGCUCCAGACUCCUACGGGAGGCAGCAGUCGGGAAUCUUCCGCAAUGGGCGAAAGCCUGACGGAGCAACGCCGCGUGAGUGAUGAAGGUCUUCGGAUCGUAAAACUCUGUUAUUAGGGGAGAACAAAUGUGUAAGUAACUAUGCACGUCUUGACGGUACCUAAUCAGAAAGCCACGGCUAACUACGUG
rnacentral:rRNA from 1 species